AUAGCUCAGUUGGUAGAGCAAAGGACUGAAAAUCCUUGUGUCGCUGGUUCGAUUCCAGCUGAUACCA
rnacentral:tRNA from 1 species